rnacentral:lncRNA from 1 species
GACAACGGCAAGCUGGCUGCAACGAAGCCGCCCACGUAGGCCUCCCCGGCCUGCUGGAGGAGAGGGGAUCCCCCGGGGCAGAGGCGGCUACACCCGGAGAACCCGGAAACCGGAAGCGCAGAUCCUGCCGGCUCUGGACUAGCCGCUCAGCACCAGGGCGGAAGGAAGACGAGGCGAGGCAAGCGCCAAGCUUCCAUCCGGACUUCAAGGCCAGUGGCUGGGUCUGGUUUUCUCAACACGGCCUCCUAGUCUCCUUCCCGCUUGGGCAUCUGUUUUUCUUAUAUAGACCCUGAAGCCGCCCGUGAUGUUCUGUAAGCAGGUUCCGCUUCAGAAUCAGAGGUACUUAAGAGGGAACCUGGAUGCUAGACCUGCCCUUGCUGCUGGCCUCAGUUUCUUUACCUGUAAAACAGGGAUUUUGGAACUGUUAAAUUAAAUCAAACUUAAAAGAAUUACAACUUAAAGCUGCUGGAACUUUACAUGAUCCCGAGCCUUGAGAGGAAUGUGGCUAUGCAGCCUGAGUCAUGUGGCAUGCAGAUGCAACCUCUGCCUUUUUCCGCUGUAAAUAAUUAAGAAGACCAAGUAGCAUCCAAGUCUCUUGUCCUUCUGCCUGCUGUUGUGGGAUGAUGUGUAGAGGAAGAUAGUCUUCCUCUACACAGCAAGAAGAUCCCUACCAGAUGCAGCCCUCUCAACCUUGGACUUCCUGACAUCCAGAACUAGUCACCUAAGCUGAAGAUUCCCUUGAGAACAAGUACUGUCCUGUGGUUUCAUGGCCUUUCUUCCAUUUGUGGUUCUUGCCAAGCGGAAUUUAAAUGACAUCUUAUCAAGAUGGAUAAACCCUAGUUUCCCAGUGCUGGAAUAUAGAAAAUGGAUGGACAAGUAAAUCCCACUCAGCACCCAUAGCCCAGGCAUGGGGACCUCAACACAUUUGAGCCGCAGAGAUCACCUUUCAUUGUGAAUAGCUCUGAGAUGAUACUUCUGGUUGAAUGUCUUUUUGUCACUUCCGGCUGGAUCUACCAUGAAAGAUUUCUGAAUCCAGGAAGAGAGAUUGACUGGGCAACAUGUUAUUCAGAGAUGGGGCCGCACUAUGUUGCCAUGGCUGACCUUGAACUCCUGCACUCAAGGGAUUUUCCUGCCUUGGC